rnacentral:rRNA from 1 species
UACGGAGGGAGCUAGCGUUGUUCGGAAUUACUGGGCGUAAAGCGCACGUAGGCGGCUUUUUAAGUCAGGGGUGAAAUCCCGGGGCUCAACCCCGGAACUGCCCUUGAAACUGGAGAGCUAGAAUCUUGGAGAGGCGAGUGGAAUUCCCGGUGUAGCGGUGAAAUGCGCAGAUAUCGGGAAGAACACCCGUGGCGAAGGCGGCUCUCUGGGACGGUACUGACGCUGAGACGCGAAAGCGUGGGGAGCGAACAGG